CAAGGGCCUUUUUCAAUUUCAGGCAGGAUUGGUGCAGUGUAUAAGUAAGAAAGUUAUGAUUAUAGCAGUGUGGAGCACUGCCUUAGCAAUAGUGUGUACAUGGGACAGGAUUAGAACAGCGUGUAUAUGGGACAGGCUUAGAACAGCGUGUAUAUGGGACGGGAUUAGCACAGCGUGUAUAUGGGACGGGAUUAGCACAGCGUGUAUAUGGGACGGGAUUAGCACAGCGUGUAUAUGGGACAGGAUUAGAACAGCGUGUAUAUGGGACAGACAGGAUUAGCACAGUGUGUAUAUGGGACAGACGGGAUU